CAAGUCGAACGCGAAAGUUCCCUUCGGGGAGCUAGUAGAGUGGCGCACGGGUGAGUAACACGUAGGUAAUCUACCUUUGGAUUGGGAAUAACCACCGGAAACGGUGGCUAAUACCGAAUAAUGCAGCGGCACCUAAUGGUGACAGUUGUUAAAGCGGGGGAUCGCAAGACCUCGCGUCUGAAGAGGAGCCUGCGGCAGAUUAGCUAGUUGGUAAGGUAACGGCUUACCAAGGCGAUGAUCUGUAGCCGGCCUGAGAGGGCGGUCGGCCACACUGACACUGACAUACGGGUCAGACUCCUACGGGAGGCAGCAGUCGGGAAUUUUGGGCAAUGGGCGAAAGCCUGACCCAGCAACGCCGCGUGAAGGAUGAAAUCCCUCGGGAUGUAUACUUCGCAAGAACGGGAAGAAUAAGCAAGAGUUAACAUCUCUUACGAUGACGGUACUGUUUGUAAGCUCCGGCUAACUCCGUGCCAGCAGCCGCGGUAAUACGGGGGGAGCAAGCGUUGUUCGGAUUUACUGGGCGUAAAGGGCGCGUAGGCGGCCACCGCAAGUCGACUGUGAAAUCUCCGGGCUUAACCCGGAAAGGUCAGCCGAUACUGCGGGGCUAGAGUGCAGAAGGGGCAACUGGAAUUCUCGGUGUAGCGGUGAAAUGCGUAGAUAUCGAGAGGAACACCUGCGGCGAAGGCGGGUUGCUGGGCUGACACUGACGCUGAGGCGCGAAAGCUAGGGGAGCGAACGGGAUUAGAUACCCCGGUAGUCCUAGCCUUAAACGAUGAAUGCUUGGUGUCUGGGGUUUUAUAGUCCCCGGGUGCCGUC
rnacentral:rRNA from 1 species